rnacentral:rRNA from 1 species
CCUACGGGUGACAGCAGUGAGGAAUAUUGGUCAAUGGGCGCGAGCCUGAACCAGCCAAGUAGCGUGAAGGAUGACUGCCCUACGGGUUGUAAACUUCUUUUAUAAAGGAAUAAAGUGAGGCACGUGUGCCUUUUUGUAUGUAUUUUAUGAAUAAGGAUCGGCUAACUCCGUGCCAGCAGCCGCGGUAAUACGGAGGAUCCGAGCGUUAUCCGGAUUUAUUGGGUUUAAAGGGAGCGUAGAUGGGUUGUUAAGUCAGUUGUGAAAGUUUGCGGCUCAAACGUAAAAUUGCAAUUGAUACUGGCAGUCUUGAGUACAGUUGAGGUAGGCGGAAUUCGUGGUGUAGCGGUGAAAUGCUUAGAUAUCACGAAGAACUCCGAUUGCGAAGGCAGCCUACUAAACUGCCACUGACAUUGAUGCUCGAAAGUGUGGGUAUCAAACAGGAUUAGAUACCCUAGUAGUC